UACAGAGGGUGCGAGCGUUGUCCGGAAUCACUGGGCGUAAAGGGCGCGUAGGCGGCUUGAUAAGCGUGCGGUGAAAGCCCGGGGCUCAACCCCGGGUCGGCCGUGCGAACUGUCGAGCUGGAGCACUGUAGAGGCAGGUGGAAUUCCGGGUGUAGCGGUGGAAUGCGUAGAUAUCAGGAGGAACACCGAUGGCGAAGGCAGGUCUCUGGGCAUUAACUGACGCUGAGGAGCGAAAGCAUGGGGAGCGAACAGG
rnacentral:rRNA from 1 species